ACGACAAAAAGGAGCCGCGCUGGAGCCCCGUGAGACCCCAUCGUUCCGGUCCUCCGCGCCGCCGCCCGACUCCCUCCAGCGCGCCUCCGCCCAGCUCCUUCCCCAACGCGCCGCGGCCCGACUGCACGCCUCCGCCCAGCUCCUUCCCCAGCGCGCCGCCGCCCGACUCCCUUCCAGCGAGCCGCCGCCAGCCCCCCCCCCCCCCCCCGCCGCCGCCGCCAUCGUGCCGCCAUCUCCCUGUCCCCCGUUGCCGCGCCGCCAUUUCCUUGUCCCCCGUCGCCGCGCCGCCAUCUCCCCUGGUCGCCGCAGCCGCGCGGCCAUCUCACCUACCCCCCGUCGUCGCGCCGCCAUCUCGCCUGGCUCCGGUCGCGCCGUUCACCACCGGUGCCCCUGCAGCGCUACCUCCUCCUGUCGGUGGGGCUCCGUCGCUGCAUGCCCCUGGCCGUUCACUGCCUCCACCCGGGUCGUUUAACGGGCAUACGACAAGCAGUUCGACGCCACAACUUAGGAGAUUCGCCGAUGCUCCACCUUCUCGGCUAGUGGGCCAACACGGCUGUCCUCACGGUGGCCUCCCUUCGACGACCUGAGGUGCCCUCAUGGCCUCAUCUACUUCCUACCUAAUAGAUCACGACGGCCCUCCCCCACCUACUGCUCGUCAUCAUCGAUCUCAACAAUGAAGGGGGGCCAAAAUAAACGUGAACCUCACCGCCCUCUUCAUGUACGAGUUUGGAAGGCCAGUAAGUUCUACUUCUGGCAUAAGCCAACGGAGCAUCGGUCGAAGAAGGCCGAGGCGCCUCGUGCCAGCUCCGGGCAUCGCUGGAGGCCCUACCUGUUCUUCCACCGCCCAUGUGCACUCACCAUCGAGCCUAUCCAUGCACAGCUCUGGUAGCCCAGCGUCAUAAUACACAGUGGCAGGUGGAGCAGCUCCCUCCUCUCAGCUGCUCAAUGGCUUGCAGAGGCGUGACAUUGCUAGGAGUUCAACAUGCAGAACCGUGCAUGUCCAAGUUCCUGCACCUCCAAGCAAACUCCAGUGAAGGUGUAACCAGUUUAGUGAGAUAAGAUAAGCAUUUUUAAAUUAUUAAUUAUGUGCGCACCACAGAAAUACAAUAGUUCAACUUUCCUAUAUUUUUGUAGUUCUAUGAUUGGAAAAGUUUGUGGAUGGUAAUAUUUUCAUUGAACUACAGUUGAAAAUGCCAAAAGGCCUGCUGUAAAAAAUGAAAUGUUUGCAUUAUUUUUUAACAUAAUGUGACAAAUUCGUUUACUUUCUCAGUUCGGCUAGUCUUCCUCUUCAAGUUCGAUCCCAUCCUGUUUUCUAAAAUGUUAAUAUGGUAGUUGUAUUAUACUCAUGUCCUACAUGGUUCGAUCUGAGAUGUAGGAUCAAAGUGUUUCGGUGUGUGCUCAAAUGUUGGUCUGCUGAUCCUUGUGCAGGUAAUUACACAAGUGAAGAUCCAUCCAACACCAAGGGCUGAAUUAAUAAAAUAUUGUUGGCGAUUUGCUCCCAUGCCAUGGAGAUUUGAGCCCCCUGAGCUUGUUGUUGCACAAUGGUGAUUCUCACUACUGGCUGUGCGUGCGCAUUGGUGUGCUGUAGAGUGAUGUGAAACACUCAGUUCAAUUUCACAUUAACUAUCUCAUCACACACUCAGUUCAAUUUCUUGAUUUAGUUUCAGUUCAAAGACUGCGAAUGUUUGUUGCCUAACGCCACAUGGUGGUAAGCUUAUUUCAUGAGUUUCCUGAUGCAAAUGCCCCUGGCCACCCUCGCGCCACCGCAGCGCCCAGGCCGUUCACCACCGGUGCCACAGUCCGUUCACUGCCGAUAGACGAGGCCGUUGAAUGACGCAGCGAUGAGGACAACCGUUGUCGUCUGUCUACCUCCUUCCCCGGUGAGCCCAUGCUCUUCUGCACUUGAUGCUUGAGCUACCUGCACUUCUUUUCUCUGUUCGAGUUCCCAAAGCAUCAGUAUUUUGUAUCAGGAUACACCAUGUUAGUUAUGCAAAUUUCUAUUAUGCUUGUAUGUCUAAAAAUAUGUACAGUUACUGCUUUUGACUUCUUGUAGUGCAGAGAAGUUACCCUGUCAUGGGCUGACCUCGAGGCUCCUUCUCCAUGACGACACAAUUUUAGGACUAACGUGCUACUGACCACGCAAGCUUCCUCAAGGAGCUCGUGUCCAACGAUACUGAAAGGAAAAACUGCUCCAGUCUUGAAAUUCUUAUUCAGUCAUGCUAUUACUGAGUGAAAAAUGGAGUGAAAGUGUAUUGCAAUUGAUCUAUCUUAGACCCUGGCAAUCCUCUAUUUUGCCUGCUUGUUUUUUGGUUUGUAAUUCAAGAACUUUGACGUUCGUAAUUCGGUCUUUGGUUAAUUUGUUAUGCCCAGUACAAACCGUUAAAUCUGAAGAGGCUUCUAAUAGCAAGAAAAUGUACAGUCAGUGUGUUGUAUAUGUCAUUCAUGUAUGAAAAAUGUGCAGUCGGUGUGGUGUA